GUGGGUAUAGCUCAGUUGGUUAGAGCGCAGGAUUGUGGCUCCUGAGGCCGAGGGUUCAAAUCCCUUUACCCACCCCA
rnacentral:tRNA from 1 species